rnacentral:rRNA from 1 species
AGUGAACGCUGGCGGUAGGCCUAACACAUGCAAGUCGAACGGCAGCACAGUAAGAGCUUGCUCUUACGGGUGGCGAGUGGCGGACGGGUGAGGAAUACAUCGGAAUCUACUUUUUCGUGGGGGAUAACGUAGGGAAACUUACGCUAAUACCGCAUACGACCUACGGGUGAAAGCAGGGGACCUUCGGACCUUGCGCGAUUGAAUGAGCCGAUGUCGGAUUAGCUAGUUGGCGGGGUAAAGGCCCACCAAGGCGACGAUCCGUAGCUGGUCUGAGAGGAUGAUCAGCCACACUGGAACUGAGACACGGUCCAGACUCCUACGGGAGGCAGCAGUGGGGAAUAUUGGACAAUGGGCGCAAGCCUGAUCCAGCCAUACCGCGUGGGUGAAGAAGGCCUUCGGGUUGUAAAGCCCUUUUGUUGGGAAAGAAAAGCAGAAGGUUAAUACCCCGCUGUUCUGACGGUACCCAAAGAAUAAGCACCGGCUAACUUCGUG